GAUGAACGCUAGCGGCAGGCCUAAUACAUGCAAGUCGGACGGGAUUGAGAAGCUUGCUUUUCAUGAGAGUGGCGCACGGGUGCGUAACACGUAUGUAACCUACCCAUAUCAGGGGGAUAGCUUCUCGAAAGAGAGAUUAAGACCGCAUAACAUUAUUGAAUGGCAUCAUUUAAUAAUCAAAUAUUUAUAGGAUAUGGAUGGGCAUGCGGAACAUUAGCUAGUUGGUAAGGUAACGGCUUACCAAGGCUACGAUGUUUAGGGGACCUGAGAGGAUGACCCCCCACACUGGUACUGAGACACGGACCAGACUCCUACGGGAGGCAGCAGUAAGGAAUAUUGGUCAAUGGACGGAAGUCUGAACCAGCCAUGCCGCGUGCAGGAAGACGGCCCUAUGGGUUGUAAACUGCUUUUGCAGGGGAAUAAACCUCGAUACGUGUAUCGAGCUGAAUGUACUCUGAGAAUAAGGAUCGGCUAACUCCGUGCCAGCAGCCGCCGUAA
rnacentral:rRNA from 1 species